GCUCCGCUGAGGGAGAAGCGAUUUCUGUGCACAGCCGUGAGCGUCUGAGGGACUGGCUCUAUGGAAAGCAUCUCCUGGCGCCGCAGAAAGUGGGACAGCCCUCCUUUGCCCGUUAGGUUGUUACUGUGAAUGGAUUGUGAAGACAAAAGCUGUGGAUGCAUUGAUGAUGCCACUGUGUUAAUCAAGGUGUUAAAGCAGAAGAAUGCAUCUUGCCUGUAUCAGCAAAAGUGAUGGGAUUUGGAAGACUAUCCAGGACCUUGUAUGAGCACAGCUGCAGGUGAUACACCUAUUUCUGCAGGUAUCUACAGUUCCAAACCAGUCUUGGGACUUCAGGUAACUCUCAGGUAAUCACAUGUGCUUAAAGCAAAAACAGCAAUCUUAAAAGUAAACUCAGGAGGCUGUUUUGGGUGCUACAUGUAUAUAGUUGUAUCACAAAAACCCUAACAUGCCACAGUAAACUUUACUUAACAGAUUGCUUAAUCUCUACAAAUGUUAACCUCCAGGUUUUUAUUUACUGAGAUGGUGUUUAAUGAUGCCGUUGUCUAAU